GUGCUUGCUUCAGCAACACAUGUACUAAAAUUGGAAUGAUACAGAGAAGAUUAUCAAGGCCCAUAGGCAAGGAUGACAUGAAAAUUCGUGAAGCGUUCCAUAGUUGU